rnacentral:rRNA from 1 species
GUGCCAGCAGCCGCGGUAAUACGUAGGGGGCAAGCGUUGUCCGGAAUUAUUGGGCGUAAAGGGCGCGUAGGCGGAUAUUUAAGUCUGGUGUGAAAGGCGAGGGCUCAACCCUCGUUGGGCAUCGGAAACUGGAUGUCUAGAGUGCAGGAGAGGAAAGCAGAAUUCCUAGUGUAGCGGUGAAAUGCGUAGAGAUUAGGAAGAAUACCAGUGGCGAAGGCGGCUUUCUGGACUGUAACUGACGCUGAGGCAUGAAAGCGUGGGGAGCAAACAGGAUUAGAUACCCUGUUAGUCCACGCCGUAAACGAUGAAUACUAGGUGUAGGAGGUAUCGACUCCUUCUGUGCCGCAGUUAACACAAUAAGUAUUCCGCCUGGGGAGUACGGUCGCAAGAUUAAAACUCAAAUGAAUUGGCGG